rnacentral:rRNA from 1 species
CCUACGGGUGGCUGCAGUGAGGAAUAUUGGUCAAUGGACGCAAGUCUGAACCAGCCAUGCCGCGUGCAGGAAGAAGGCUCUAUGAGUUUUAAACUGCUUUUGUACGAGGGUAAACGCAGAUACGCGUAUCUGUCUGAAAGUCUCGUACGAAUAAGGCUCGGCUAACGCCGUGCCAGCAGCCGCGGUAAUACGGAGGAUUCAAGCGUUAUCCGGGUUUCUUGGGGUGAAAGGGUGCGUAGGCGGUCGGCUAAGUUAGAGGUGAAAUCCCGUGGCUCAACUUCGGAAUUGCCUGUGAUACUGUUCGCCUAGAGGUUAGUUGCGGCAGGCGGAAUGUAUGGUGUAGCGGUGAAAUGCAUAGAGAUCAUACAGAACACCGGUGGCGAAGGCAGCUUGCCAAACUACGACUGACGUUGAGGCACGAAAGCGUGGGGAGCAAACAGGAUUAGAUACCCGUGUAGUC